rnacentral:rRNA from 1 species
UAAGGAAUAUUGGACAAUGGUCGCAAGACUGAUCCAGCCAUGCCGCGUGCAGGAAGACGGCCCUAUGGGUUGUAAACUGCUUUUGUACCAGAGAAAACCUAUCUACGUGUAGAUAGCUGAUAGUAUGGUAAGAAUAAGCAUCGGCUAACUUCGUGCCAGCAGCCGCGGUAAGACGAAGGAUGCAAGCGUUAUCCGGAUUCAUUGGGUUUAAAGGGUGCGUAGGCGGGCUUGUAAGUCAGUGGUGAAAUCUCUCAGCUUAACUGAGAAACUGCCAUUGAUACUGCAGGCCUAGAGUAUAGAUGACGUUGGCGGAAUAUGACAUGUAGUGGUGAAAUACUUAGAUAUGUCAUAGAACACCGAUUGCGAAGGCAGCUAACGAAACUAUAACUGACGCUGAG